AGAACGAACGCUGGCGGCAUGCCUAAUACAUGCAAGUCGAACGAACUCUUCGGAGUUAGUGGCGCACGGGUGCGUAACGCGUGGGAAUCUGCCCCUUGGUUCGGAAUAACAGUUGGAAACGACUGCUAAUACCGGAUGAUGACGAAAGUCCAAAGAUUUAUCGCCAAGGGAUGAGCCCGCGUAGGAUUAGCUAGUUGGUGAGGUAAAGGCUCACCAAGGCAACGAUCCUUAGCUGGUCUGAGAGGAUGAUCAGCCACACUGGGACUGAGACACGGCCCAGACUCCUACGGGAGCAGCAGGU
rnacentral:rRNA from 1 species